rnacentral:rRNA from 1 species
AUUGAACGCUGGCGGAAUGCUUUACACAUGCAAGUCGAACGGUAACAGCAGAGCUUGCUCUGGCUGACGAGUGGCGGACGGGUGAGUAAUAUAUCGGAACGUGUCCAAUAAUGGGGGAUAACUAGCCGAAAGGUUGGCUAAUACCGCAUACGCCCUGAGGGGGAAAGCUGGGGAUCUUCGGACCUGGCGUUAAUGGAGCGGCCGAUACCUGAUUAGCUAGUAGGUGGGGUAAAAGCCUACCUAGGCAACGAUCAGUAGCUGGUCUGAGAGGACGACCAGCCACACUGGGACUGAGACACGGCCCAG